rnacentral:rRNA from 1 species
GACGAACGCUGGCGGCGUGCUUAACACAUGCAAGUCGAGCGGUAAGGCCCUUUCGGGGGUACACGAGCGGCGAACGGGUGAGUAACACGUGGGUGACCUGCCCUUAGCUCUGGGAUAAGCCUGGGAAACUGGGUCUAAUACCGGAUAUGACUCCAUGACGCAUGUUGUGGGGUGGAAAGCCUUGUGCGGCUGAGGAUGGGCCCGCGGCCUAUCAGCUUGUUGGUGGGGUGAUGGCCUACCAAGGCGACGACGGGUAGCCGGCCUGAGAGGGCGACCGGCCACACUGGGACUGAGAUACGGCCCAGACUCCUACGGGAGGCAGCAGUGGGGAAUCUUGCGCAAUGGGCGAAAGCCUGACGCAGCGACGCCGCGUGAGGGAUGACGGCCUGG